GCCCGGCUAGCUCAAUCGGUAGAGCGUGAGACUCUUAAUCUCAAGGUUGCGGGUUCAAUCCCCGCGUUGGGCU
rnacentral:tRNA from 1 species